rnacentral:ncRNA from 1 species
UAUGGUAGAGGCGCUAUAUAUAAUUAGUAUCUUAUUUUAGUGGGCACACGUUUUGAGGAUAAGAGAAAGGUAUAAUAGCCGAAGGAUAAAAAUAUUUGCAAUUUUUUAUUCUGGGUAUGCAUAUAAUAUAUGUAUAACUGUCACGAAAGUGGAGGGCUACAA